rnacentral:rRNA from 1 species
CAGCCGUAAACUAUACUCGCUAGGUGUCAGGCAUGGCGCGACCGUGUCUGGUGCCGCAGGGAAGCCGUGAAGCGAGCCACCUGGGAAGUACGGCCGCAAGGCUGAAACUUAAAGGAAUUGGCGGGGGAGCACAACAACGGGUGGAGCCUGCGGUUUAAUUGGACUCAACGCCGGACAACUCACCGGGGACGACAGCAAUAUGUAGGCCAGGCUGAAGACCUUGCCUGAAUCGCUGAGAGGAGGUGCAUGGCGUAGACGUCU